UACGUAGGAGGCAAGCGUUGUCCGGAAUUACUGGGCGUAAAGAGCGCGUAGGCGGCACGGUACGACCGGUGUGAAAGCCCCCGGCUCAACUGGGGAGGGUCACCGGUAACGGCCGAGCUAUGAGUGCAGGAGAGGGAAGUGGAACUCCGGGAGUAGCGGUGAAAUGCGUAGAGAUUCGGAAGAACACCCAUGGCGAAGGCAGCACUCUGGGCUUGAACCGCAAGGUGAACCUGACACUGAGGUACGAAAGCCAGGGGAGCGAACGGG
rnacentral:rRNA from 1 species